AACGAACGCUGGCGGCAUGCCUAACACAUGCAAGUCGAACGAGACCUUCGGGUCUAGUGGCGCACGGGUGCGUAACGCGUGGGAACCUGCCCUUAGGUUCGGAAUAACUCCCCGAAAGGGGUGCUAAUACCGGAUAAUGUCUUCGGACCAAAGAUUUAUCGCCUUUGGAUGGGCCCGCGUUGGAUUAGCUAGUUGGUAGGGUAAAAGCCUACCAAGGCGACGAUCCAUAGCUGGUCUGAGAGGAUGCUCAGCCACACUGGGACUGAGACACGGCCCAGACUCCUACGGGAGGCAGCAGUGGGGAAUAUUGGACAAUGGGCGAAAGCCUGAUCCAGCCAUGCCGCGUGAGUGAUGAAGGCCUUAGGGUUGUAAAGCUCUUUUACCCGGGAUGAUAAUGACAGUACCGGGAGAAUAAGCUCCGGCUAACUCCGUG
rnacentral:rRNA from 1 species